AAACAACUGAAAAAGUACAUUGAUUUGGUUCACACGACUACAGAGUACGAAACCCAAUAAGCAUGUAGCACUAUGUCUUAGACAAGGUCGUUUAUCAAUUCUGAUCAAUGCCUGUGUCUUGUUCAUUCCUAUAGGCCCAUGGCCAUGUGGUCAUACUCCUUAAUUGGGCUUUGUUCCUUGUCAGCUGUUUUUACCUCCACAAUUUUAGUGUAGCCGAAAGGAAAUAGUUGUGCAAAUGUUCCUUAGU
rnacentral:misc_RNA from 1 species